UACGUAGGAUGCAAGCGUUGUCCGGAAUUACUGGGCGUAAAGGGCGCGCAGGCGGUACAUUAGGUCAGAUGUGAAAUGCUUCGGCUCAACCGAAGAGGGCCAUUUGAAACCGGUGUACUAGAGUACAACAGAGGUUAGCAGAAUUCCCGGUGUAGUGGUGAAAUGCGUAGAGAUCGGGAGGAAUACCAGUGGCGAAGGCGGCUAACUGGGUUGUAACUGACGCUGAGGCGCGAAGGCUAGGGGAGCGAACAGG
rnacentral:rRNA from 1 species